AUCUCUUUGUUCUUUUCCCUCCUAGCAUUCUGCCGUCCUUGCCCUGUUAUAUGCAUGAAAAGAGUUAUUUUGUUAGUCGAUAACAAUACCAUUUUUUCACAUUUUUUAUAUGAGUGUGUCAAUGGAGUGCUAUAUUUAUUUUCUAGUAGUUUUUUAUAGGGAAUCACCUCCAUCAGCCGUGCUUGGCUGGUUUGUCUUCCUAGAUCUCUUCUUUUUGGGGAUAUCGUAUACUUUAUCCAGAUUAGUGCAUUUCCUUUUUGUGUGACCCGGAUCAUUACAGUGGCUGCACUUGUAGAAUGUCUUGGUUUUUAUGCGUUCUUGUAUGGUCAUCAUUCGUGGGCGCCCUUUUGUGUGUGCCUUAUCAGGAUUCAAUA
rnacentral:lncRNA from 1 species